GCUACCUUCCGCCGCGACGGUGCCUCGGCGACGAGGUGAAAAGGGAACGCGGAGCGGGGCCAGCCCCGGAAGCCGCGGCUGCCCCCGCAACUGUGAGCGGUGCGGGCCCGCCAUCGGCCACUGGAGCGAUCCGGGAAGGCGGCGGGCACGGUCCACCAUCGCGAGCCAGGAGACCUGCCGUCACCCCUUCCUCUCG
rnacentral:ncRNA from 2 species